rnacentral:ncRNA from 1 species
UCUUAUUAUGUAUUUCAUGUACAGUAUAUUUGACCAAUAAAUCGGUGGUUAAGUUUCUACCUUAGUUCCGCUAUACUAAGACUACGUACAUUCUCCUUCUUUAC